rnacentral:rRNA from 1 species
UAUCUCUGUAGAGUCUGCAUAUCAAUAAGCGGAGGAAAAGAAACUAACUAGGAUUCCCUCAGUAACGGCGAGUGAAGCGGGAAGAGCUCAAAUUUGAAAUCUUCAAGGUUUUACCUUGACGAAUUGUAGUUUAAAGAAGUGUUUUCUGUUGGUGUUUUGGUAAAAGUUCUUUGGAAUAGGACAUCAUAGAGGGUGAGAAUCCCGUAUUUGACCAUUACUUCCAGCGUUGUGAUACACUUUCAAAGAGUCGGAUUGUUUGGGAAUGCAGUCCAAAAUGGGUGGUAAAUUUCAUCUAAAGCUAAAUAUUGGCGAGAGACCGAUAGCGAACAAGUACCGUGAGGGAAAGAUGAAAAGAACUUUGAAAAGAGAGUUAAACAGUACGUGAAAUUGUCAAAAGGGAAGCGUUCGACACCAGUGUUGUUUUCUCGAAAAUCAAUUAAAGAAGAUUGGAUUUUGUGUUGUAUUGACUUUAUCAGCUUUCUGCACUCUCUUCUUGUCUUUUUUAAUGCACUUUUCAUUUAACAAGUCAACAUCAAUUUCUUUUGUUGUAAAAGGGUCAUUGGAAGGUGGCUUUCUUUUCGGAGAAAGUGUUUAUAGCCUUUGACUUCUGCAAUCGGAGAGAUUGAGGUCUGCAGCGUAGAUCCUUCGGGGUUAGAUGCAUUUGUGCUAAGUUAUAGCCUUUCAUAGACAACUUGUUGACUAUGAUCAGUCAUGUAGCUUACUCGCUUAUGUCAUUUUACCUACGCUUAGGAUGUUGAUCUCUCACAGUCGAGC